GACAGAGGGUGCAAGCGUUGUUCGGAAUCAUUGGGCGUAAAGCGCACGUAGGCGGUCAUGUAAGUCGGAUGUGAAAGCCCAGGGCUUAACCCUGGAAGUGCAUCCGAUACUGCAUGACUUGAGUCCCGGAGAGGGUGGUGGAAUUCCUGGUGUAGAGGUGAAAUUCGUAGAUAUGGGGAGGAACACCGGUGGCGAAGGCGGCCACCUGGACGGUAACUGACGCUGAGACGCGAAAGCGUGGGGAGCAAACAGG
rnacentral:rRNA from 1 species